rnacentral:rRNA from 1 species
UACGGAGGGUGCAAGCGUUAUCCGGAUUCACUGGGUUUAAAGGGUGCGUAGGCGGGCAGGUAAGUCAGUGGUGAAAUCUCCGGGCUUAACCCGGAAACUGCCGUUGAUACUAUCUGUCUUGAAUAUCGCGGAGGUAAGCGGAAUAUGUCAUGUAGCGGUGAAAUGCUUAGAUAUGACAUAGAACACCAAUUGCGAAGGCAGCUUACUACCCGAAUAUUGACACUGAGGCACGAAAGCGUGGGGAUCAAACAGG